rnacentral:rRNA from 1 species
GUCUACGGCCAUGUCACCCUGAACAAGCCAGAUGUCUGAUCUCGUAAGCUAAGCAGGGUCAGGCCUGAUUAGUACUUGGGUGGGAGACCACCUAGUAAGACCAGGGCUUGUAGGUG